CAAUAUAAUACUACUAGCUACUUUUAUAUCAACAAAAAAAUGGAGGGGAAAACUACUUUAGUGGUUUUAAUGGUUAGUAUUACUUUAGUAAUAGGAUGCAUGGGAGAUGAUGAAGUUAAAAAAUAUGGUGUUUGUGUCUUUGAGUGCAUGAAAGAAAAACCUAUGGAUUGUAUUUUCGACCCUGAAGUGUGUAUUCCAACUUGUGCUGCAAAAUGUGCAAUCCAUCUUCAACAUAAUUUUCAUCCCACAAUAGCUCCUAAAAAUUAUGCUUGUAACAUUGCAUGCACUUUCACCCAAUGCCAAAACUACAUGAUGCUAAACGAUGGAAAGAAGCUUGGAGAGUGCAUAGCUAGUUGCAGUGACAACUACUGUGCCAAUAAGGCAGCACUCAUUUGAAGAAGUAUGUAACAUAGCUUGUUAAUAAUAAAUGUUCAUGCAAUUGAACUCUUAAGUGGUCAGUGUGUGGUGUAAUCUUGUGUUAUGUAAUAACAGAGUAACAAUAAUAAUAAUAAUAAUAAAUGUUCAUGCAAGAACUAGUCUGAACUUUUAGUGGCCAAUGUGAUCUUAUGUACUUGUAUAACUAUAUUUGGGUCUAUUAGAGACAGUCUGUUUAUCUAAGCUCUGAAAUAAAAAUAUGGUUUAAUUUGCA